GUUCCUGGCUCAGGACGAACGCUGGCGGCGCGCCUAACACAUGCAAGUCGAACGAGCGAGAGAGAGCUUGCUUUCUCGAGCGAGUGGCGAACGGGUGAGUAACGCGUGAGGAACCUGCCUCAAAGAGGGGGACAACAGUUGGAAACGACUGCUAAUACCGCAUAAGCCCACGGGUCGGCAUCGACCAGAGGGAAAAGGAGCAAUCCGCUUUGAGAUGGCCUCGCGUCCGAUUAGCUAGUUGGUG
rnacentral:rRNA from 1 species